CCGGCCCGGCCCGGCCCGACCCGCCCGCCCAGGAACCUAGGUAGGCCGCGGGCGCCCGCGCCCAUCGCCCCCCAUCCGGGAGCCCCGGAGGAAAGGGGACAGUUGGGGAGCUCGUGCGCUCCGAGGGUGCAGCCCUGCGCGCGCGGCGAGCCGAGGCCCUGGGAUCCGAACUGCCACCUCCUCCGCCGCCGGCGCCGCCAUCCUAGAAGCCUCCAGGCAAGGCCUCCAGGCCGAGCCACUCCGGGGCUGCUCACCCGCGCCCCGGGCGUUCCGAAUCCGGGAACGUGCGCUCCCCAGGUCUCCCUUCUCCAGAGAGCAAAGCCGCCGCGAGCGGCCCGAGUCUGUCCCCUCCCGCCUGCCUCCACGUCUCCGGCUCGCCCGCCCGCCCGAGUCCCGACGCUCCGGGGAAAAGGCUUCCAAGGGUCCCCGGUCCACCCCUCUCCGGUACCGCUCCCACCCGGAGCCGCGUCCCGAGCUUGACACUCCCAGCCUCCGCCAUCCGCCACCGCAGCCCCAGCCCGCCUCACCUCAGGCGGCUCCGGCAGCGCUGGACACAGGAAGCUCCUGGGUCCUCGACUCCGGCUCUCCUCGACCCCCCUGUUCGGUUAACUCCGCUUGUUUUCUCGACAAAAUGGCGCCCGAGGUCGCGCGCUCACGUCGCGGCCUUUCCCCCUCCCAGUUCCCAUUUCACCAUUCGCUGUCCGCUUUGGUAGAGGGAUGGCCCUAGCGGCCAGCCAAUGGCCGCGCGCGGUCCGCAACUGCCGUCCAAUCGCCGACGGGUACCCGCGGAUUUAAACCAAUCACACACUAAUCGCUCGCCGAAGUCGAGGAAGAAACCAGGCUCCUGCUAGCAACGACCAAUCCAGGCUUCUAUCUUGCGGGGCUCAGGCCAAUUGACGCUCAUCGGCCCUUCAGGGACUGGGUCCGAGCCCGGGCGCCUGCGCACCCGGGUGCGAGCCAAUGGGGAGACGUUGGGAACUUCGAUUUGGGACUCGAAGACAUCUGCCUUCGAGGUGUUCGAUCUAUGGGGACUGACUGGUCAUUGCCUCUGGAAAAAAAAAAGUACGGAAGGGAGCCUGUUAAUGCAUUGCCACCCUGCGCACAAACUACUCUAACUUAGAGACGGGGUGAUGCUCGUCUACUUUCCUUCGUCUUUCGAAAUGUCACGGCCCGAGAGGCUGUGCGGGUUUCCAGCGGAAGCAUUGUCCACCCCUCGGAUCUCUUUAGCAAAGAGCACCAGCCAUCAGAAAGCGUCAGACGCCGGGCAAAGUUGAGGUCCUUUGCAUCCUGGGUUAUGUAGUCGCACGCCCCGCCUAUUCCUGUCGCAAACGUAACGUGAUCUCUUCCAUCACUGUCUGCGCCCUAGAGCAGCAAUGCAUGCUGGAGAAUGUAGUCUCCCAGAUGCCCACCUAGUCCUAGCUCUUUAAAAGUUUGUUUUCCACUUGUCUUUUGAAGCAGGGACGCUUUGCAGAGAUAUAGAAACGGAAGUUCUCCUCCUGCUCUUGGCCAUGCCAAUGCCCUUUGCUUCUUGGAUAAAAGUCUAUGUUAUCCACUGUGCCCUAUCUUGUAGGCUUUUUGUUUGUUUUGAGUUUUGAGACGAGGUCUCAUUCAGUUAACCCAACUGUAGUCCAGGCUGGCCUGAAACACACUAUGAAACAUAAAUUGACCUUGAGCUCCUUGCAAUCCUCUAAACUACUGAGAUGAUAAUAGACAUAACCUCUCACACCAGUACUAUUUGAACUUAAAAGAGAUGUGUUAAAGACUUUUAUUACUUAUUUUACAUGUACGGGCGUUUGCUUGCAUGUAAAUCUAUGCAUCACGCAUGUACAGUGUCCUCAGAAGUCAGAAGAGGAUGCCUGUCCCUAUGGAAAUGGAGUUACAGAUGGUUGUGAGCCACCAGGUGGGUUCUCUGGAAAAGUAGCUCUGUGCCAUCUUUCCAGCCCCUAGAUGUAAAAAAUAAAGAAAAAGAAAAAAGUGUCUGAGUGCUUGCAUAUAUAUAUAUGGAUCUCCCAACUGAAAUGAGAGUCUUGGUGGUAAAGUUGUAAGUUGCCCUAUGAGUGCUGGAAACCCACCCCUGCUCCUCUGCAGAAACAGCUCCUCUCCAGCCCCCACCUUGAACUUUUUUAUCGAUGUUUUUAAUUUGUGCAAUUUAGCAAUCUGGGGGUUGUUUCGUUUUGUGGGUUUUGUUUUCUUUAGUUGUUUGAUGAAGAAGAAGAGAGGCAAGGCUGAAUUGGGACUGUUCUGGAGAAGGGGGAGCGGGGCAUACAAGGCAACUCCCCAAGAUCAAGUCUGUAAUUCCGCAACCAGUUUAGUUCAAGUUUCAACUGCCCCCAAACUGAAGCCCUCUGAAACAACCAGAAACCCACUUCCUACCUGGACUAUACCACUAGCUUCCUGAGUUACGCUGGGCAUUUAUCUCCAACCUCUGAUGUGACCUGAUGGCCUCGUGACUAGUGUUAAGUCCUUCUGGAAUGGACAAACAUACCUCUGCAUCCCAGCAGUUCAAAGGCUGUGAGUGUCAUCAGAUAACGUCUGCCGCCUAGAACAGAGGUUUCCCUUCUUCACGGGAGUCAAUCGACCUGAUGCCCCCCUCGGCCUAUUUGGAUGGAAGGUGCCUUGGUGUGUCGUUUUCCUGUAACUGUUACCACACUGGAUCAUGAUGUUUGAGAUAAUACAUUAAUAGACAUCAACUAUUCAUAUUUGGGCCC
ensembl:processed_transcript